rnacentral:rRNA from 1 species
GCCUGUAAGACGGGGAUAACUUCGGGAAACCGAAGCUAAUACCGGAUAAUAAAGAGAAACUCCUGUUUCUUUUUUGAAAGUCGGUUUCGGCUGACGCUUACAGAUGGGCCCGCGGCGCAUUAGCUAGUUGGUGAGGUAACGGCUCACCAAGGCCACGAUGCGUAGCCGACCUGAGAGGGUGAUCGGCCACACUGGGACUGAGACACGGCCCAGACUUCUACGGGAGGCAGCAGUAGGGAAUCUUCGGCAAUGGACGAAAGUCUGACCGAGCAACGCCGCGUGAGCGAUGAAGGCCUUCGGGUCGUAAAGCUCUGUUGUCAGAGAAGAACAAGUACCGGAGUAACUGCCGGUACCUUGACGGUACCUGACCAGAAAGCCACGGUUAACUACGUGCCAGCAGCCGCGGUAAUACGUAGGUGGCAAGCGUUAUCCGGUAUUAUUGGGCGUAAAGCGCGCGCAGGCGGUUCCUUAAGUCUGAUGUGAAAGCCCACGGCUCAACCGUGGAGGGUCAUUGGAAACUGGGGAACUUGAGUGCAGGAGAGAAAA